GACCUUACUUGAACAGGAUCUGUUCUAUAGGCACCAGGACCAUGUAACCAGAGCGUGAUUAACAGAGCCCAUGGUCCUGACCAUGGCUCAGUAGAGGAUCGUUGUAAGUCCAUCUUCUUGGGCUUGACAUGGUUACAUGGUUGUCUAAC
rnacentral:snoRNA from 2 species